UUUCGCAAUGCCCGAAAGGGUGACGAAGCGACGCCGCGUGUGGGAAGAAGGCCUUCGGGUUGUAAACCACUGUCGGGAGUUAGGAAAUGCAGGUGCGUUAAUAGCGCACUUGCUUGACUAAGGCUCCAGAGGAAGCCACGGCUAACUCUGUGCCAGCAGCCGCGGUAAUACAGAGGCGGCAAGCGUUGUUCGGAAUUAUUGGGCGUAAAGAGCACGUAGGCGGCCUUGCAAGUCAGUUGUGAAAGCCUUCCGCUUAACGGAAGAACGGCAUCUGAUACUACAGGGCCUGAGUACGGGAGGGGAGAGUGGAACUUCUGGUGGAGCGGUGAAAUGCGUAGAUAUCAGAAGGAACGCCGGCGGCGAAAGCGACUCUCUGGUCCGAAACUGACGCUGAGUGUGCGAAAGCUAGGGGAGCAAACGGGAUUAGAUACCCCGGUAGUCCUAGCCGUAAACGAUGGGCACUAAGUAGAGGGGUUUU
rnacentral:rRNA from 2 species